CACCCAAAGUUGCUUUUUGCCUUGUUGGGCAAAACAUGCUGGUAACAAAUGGCUUGUCUUGUGCCUGAGGCAUACAGAAGCUACCAGAAUCGUUGAGUCCAAUCCAAUAGCGCUCAUUCCUGGUGAGAGACUGGAGGAAAUUCUGCAAGCAAAAAAUAAAAAAUAAAUGUCAAGGUGGACCCUCUCUGUUUGGGGGAAAAGGUAACACUGAUGAAAUGGCAACAGCUGAAACAACAUAAAUUGCGUGUAAGAGGAGCUGAGACUAUACUGCCACCUACAGAGGAAAAAAGAGUACUGCUAGGAUCAUUGUUCAGUCACCACUGCUAUGUACAACAAUAGUUUCCAACGGGUUCAGACCUGAGACCCACCUCUGAUUCCCAAUCUGCAACAAGUAUCUUUACCUGUGUGGCCACAUUGCGAACAACUGCAAGGUGUGAAUUCUGAUCUCUCUACACUGAGCCUUAGCCUUUUGCCAAGUCACCUCCUGGAAGGAAAAGUAGUAACAUCCACCAUCAAAGUAUCCCCAUUCUCUACUUCUGGAUCCACAUGGGAACACUGGUGAAAAAGAAAAGGAGUGCAAUAAAAACAAU